rnacentral:rRNA from 1 species
UACGAAGGGGGCUAGCGUUGCUCGGAAUCACUGGGCGUAAAGGGUGCGUAGGCGGGUCUUUUAAGUCAGGGGUGAAAUCCUGGAGCUCAACUCCAGAACUGCCUUUGAUACUGAGGAUCUUGAGUUCGGGAGAGGUGAGUGGAACUGCGAGUGUAGAGGUGAAAUUCGUAGAUAUUCGCAAGAACACCAGUGGCGAAGGCGGCUCACUGGCCCGGAACUGGACGCUGAGGUGCGAAAGCGUGGGGAGCAAACAGG